rnacentral:rRNA from 1 species
GGGGAAUUUUGGACAAUGGGCGCAAGCCUGAUCCAGCCAUGCCGCGUGUCUGAAGAAGGCCUUCGGGUUGUAAAGGACUUUUGUCAGGGAAGAAAAGGGCGGGGUUAAUACCCCUGUCUGAUGACGGUACCUGAAGAAUAAGCACCGGCUAACUACGUGCCAGCAGCCGCGGUAAUACGUAGGGUGCGAGCGUUAAUCGGAAUUACUGGGCGUAAAGCGGGCGCAGACGGUUACUUAAGCAGGAUGUGAAAUCCCCGGGCUCAACCUGGGAACUGCGUUCUGAACUGGGUGACUAGAGUGUGUCAGAGGGAGGUAGAAUUCCACGUGUAGCAGUGAAAUGCGUCGAGAUGUGGAGGAAUACCGAUGGCGAAGGCAGCCUCUGGGAUAACACUGACGUUCAUGCCCGAAAGCGUGGGUAGCAAACAGGAUUAGAUACCCUGGUAGUCCACGCCCUAAACGAUGUCGAUUAGCUGUUGGGCAGCAUGACUGCUUAGUAGCGAAGCUAACGCGUGAAAUCGACCGCCUGGGGAGUACGGUCGCAAGAUUA